rnacentral:rRNA from 1 species
AACGAUGCCACCAGCGAUCCGCCUGAGUUCCUUAAAUGACUCGGCGGGCAGCUUCCGGGAAACCAAAGUUUUUCGGUUCCGGGGGAAGUAUGGUUGCAAAGCUGAAACUUAAAGGAAUUGACGGAAGGGCACCACCAGGAGUGGAGCCUGCGGCUUAAUUUGACUCAACACGGGAAAACUUACCCGGCCCGGACACUGGCAGGAUUGACAGAUUGAGAGCUCUUUCUUGAUUCAGUGGGUGGUGGUGCAUGGCCGUUCUUAGUUGGUGGAGCGAUUUGUCUGGUUAAUUCCGAUAACGAACGAGACUCUAGCCUACUAAAUAGGCCACCGGCUUACUGACGUCGGUGGGACUUCUUAGAGGGACAGGCGGCGAUUCAGCCGCACGAAACAGAGCAAUAACAGGUCUGUGAUGCCCUUAGAUGUCCGGGGCCGCACGCGCGCUACACUGAAGUGAUCAGCGUGCAUUACAAACCUGCUCCGUCAGGAGUGGGGAACCCAAUGAACCUUCUUCGUGAUUGGGAUAGGGGAUUGUAAUUAUUCCCCUUGAACGAGGAAUUCCCAGUAAGCGCGAGUCAUAAGCUCGCGUUGAUUACGUCCCUGCCCUUUGUACACACCGCCCGUCGCUACUACCGAUUGAAUGAUUUAGUGAGGUCUUCGGACUGGCCGGCGCAGCUGUCUUCGGGCGGCCGCGCUGUGUUUGGAAAGAUGCCCAUACUUGAUCAUUUAGAGGAAGU